AGAGUUUGAUCCUGGCUCAGGAUGAACGCUGGCGGCGUGCUUAACACAUGCAAGUCGAACGAAGCAUUUAAGGACGAUUCUUCGGAUGAGGACUUUUAUGACUGAGUGGCGGACGGGUGAGUAACGCGUGGGUAACCUGCCCUAUACAGGGGGAUAACAGUUAGAAAUGACUGCUAAUACCGCAUAAGCGCACUAGAACCGCAUGGUUCGGUGUGAAAAACUGAGGUGGUAUAGGAUGGACCCGCGUCUGAUUAGCUUGUUGGUGGGGUAACGGCUCACCAAGGCGACGAUCAGUAGCCGGCCUGAGAGGGCGACCGGCCACAUUGGGACUGAGACACGGCCCAAACUCCUACGGGAGGCAGCAGUGGGGAAUAUUGCACAAUGGGGGAAACCCUGAUGCAGCGACGCCGCGUGAGUGAAGAAGUAUUUCGGUAUGUAAAGCUCUAUCAGCAGGGAAGAAAAUGACGGUACCUGACUAAGAAGCCCCGGCUAACUACGUG
rnacentral:rRNA from 1 species